rnacentral:sRNA from 1 species
GGUUUUUUCUUGCAGUGGUGUUUACAACUAACUGAUCGCAGCCAGUUAACAGAUUUCUUUGUUCCUUCUCCACUACUCUGCUUCACUUGACCAGCCUUAA